UCAGCUAUAUCCAAAACGUAAAUUUAAGUUUUACACCUGGUGCCCUAAUUAGUUCAUUAAAGUUCAAACUGAUGUCCAAUAUGCAAGUUCAUAGGGCUUGGUCUUCAAUCGACUCACAGGACGAUUAUGAAGGUGCGGUGUCAUCAAUCACUGGUGUAAAGCAAAUACAGAAUAGGUCCUAGUACGCUUCCCUGGGAAACACCAGCCUUUAUUUUUGAAAAUGAUUAGGAAAUGUUGAACUACAGUUAUAAAUGGACAAAUUCUACCAUUGGCUGAAGAACCCUCCUCACAGAAUCAGUGGAUUAUCUAACUUAUUAGAAACAUGAAUAAUUUGUAUAAUUUUUGAGGUUAACUUGUAAGGUUCACUAACAACUACUUUCAUAAAUAUCUGUUCUCAAUUAAUCAACUGUGUGGUUUUUUUGUUUCUAAAAUUAAUCUGUACAGACUCUGUCAUGGUACAUUUGAAUGACUCACGAUGUAGAGCCUUUCUGGGUAUUUUGGCCAUCAGCUUUUCCUUCAUCCGUAGACCUAACCUAUUUGCCAUUUUUCAAAAGAAAAGAAAAUGCUAGAUCCACACCUCCAAAUCAUCUCUCUCGUUUUCUUUAAUGUAUGUAACAUUUAUUUUUACAUUAUUUCUUAGGAAUUAAAUUUUAUUUCAAAAUUAGAAACCAAUGUCGCUAAAUUCUAACAAUAAUUAAUUUUGCCACUUUGCUUGUUUUUUGUCCUCUGUUAUUCAUGUUUAUUAACUCUGAUAUAAUUAUUAUAAACAAUUAUGGAAUAAAUAAACAAAAGAGGAAGAUUCAUUGCUCUGUAACUCAUUUAUUUUUAUUUUCCAAUCUUUUGUAACCAAAACGUAUUAAAAUUGUCACAACUCAUUAGGCAAUUAGUAUAAUAUCAAUCUUGAUAAUUACAAAUGUACAACACUAAGGAAAAAUCCAGUAAGACAAGAAAUAAAAA